ACGGAAGGCAGCAGUGAGGAAUAUUGGUCAAUGGGCGGAAGCCUGAACCAGCCAAGUCGCGUGAAGGAUGAAGGUAUUAUGUAUUGUAAACUUCUUUAGACGCAGAGAAAUAAGCAGGUCGUGACCUGUGAUGCUAGUAUGCGUAGAAUAAGGAUCGGCUAACUCCGUGCCAGCAGCCGCGGUAAUACGGAGGAUCCGAGCGUUAUCCGGAUUUAUUGGGUUUAAAGGGUGCGCAGGCGGUUUGUUAAGUCAGCGGUUAAAUAGGGGAGCUCAACUCCAUCCCGCCGUUGAUACUGACAGACUUGAUUGCGGUUGAGGUUGGCGGAAUUCGUCGUGUAGCGGUGAAAUGCAUAGAUAUGACGAAGAACACCGAUUGCGUAGGCAGCUGACCAAGCCGUAAAUGACGCUCAUGCACGAAAGUGCGGGGAUCGAACAGGAUUAGAUACCCUGGUA
rnacentral:rRNA from 1 species